rnacentral:rRNA from 1 species
GUGAACCUGCGGAAGGAUCAUAG